rnacentral:rRNA from 1 species
GAUGAACGCUAGCGGGAGGCCUAACACAUGCAAGUCGAGGGGUAACAUUGUCUUCGGACAGAUGACGACCGGCGCACGGGUGCGUAACGCGUAUGCAACCUACCUCUAACAGGGAGAUAGCCCAGAGAAAUUUGGAUUAAUACCCCAUAGUAUUAUAAUAUCGCAUGAUAUAAUAAUUAAAGAUUUAUCGGUUAGAGAUGGGCAUGCGUGACAUUAGCUAGAUGAAGAGGUAACGGCUCCCCAUGGCAACGAUGUCUAGGGGUUCUGAGAGGAUGAUCCCCCACACUGGUACUGAGACACGGACCAGACUCCUACGGGAGGCAGCAGUGAGGAAUAUUGGUCAAUGGGCGCAAGCCUGAACCAGCCAUCCCGCGUGAAGGAAGAAGGUUCUAUGGAUUGUAAACUUCUUUUAUAUACCAAGAAUAGUUUCUACGUGUAGGAAUAUGACGGUAGUAUAUGAAUAAGCAUCGGCUAACUCCGUGCCAGCAGCCGCGGUAAUA